rnacentral:rRNA from 1 species
GAUGAACGCUGGCGGCGUGCUUAACACAUGCAAGUCGAACGAGAAAUGUAGACGGAAACCUUCGGGCGGAAGCCUUCAUUUCGAGUGGCGGACGGGUGAGUAACGCGUGGGUAACCUGCCUCAUACAGGGGGAUAACAGUUGGAAACGACUGUUAAUACCGCAUAAGACCACAGCAUCGCAUGAUGCGGGGGUAAAAACUCCGGUGGUAUGAGAUGGACCCGCGUUCGAUUAGCCAGUUGGCGGGGUAACGGCCCACCAAAGCGACGAUCGAUAGCCGAUCUGAGAGGCUGACCGGCCACAUUGGGACUGAGACACGGCCCAAACUCCUACGGGAGGCAGCAGUGGGGAAUAUUGCACAAUGGGGGAAACCCUGAUGCAGCGACGCCGCGUGAGUGAAGAAGUACUUCGGUAUGUAAAGCUCUAUCAGCAGGGAAGAAAAUGACGGUACCUGAGGAAGAAGCCCCGGCUAACUACGUG